AUAUUUUCUUAAAAUAGCUGCAACAGCUAUUUCACUUGCUCUGACAAAGAUAUAUAAUCUCAGUAUUAAUUCGGCUAGUUUUCCUGACUUGUGGAAAAUUGCAAAGGUUUCAUCUCUUUUCAAAUCGGGUUCGCUUUUUGACCGUACGUUCCAACUUUCGCCCUAUCUCAGUUUUGGCCGUUAUCUCUAAGAUACUUGAACGCCUUGUUCAUAAUUCUUUUUAUCACUUCCUA